CAGGAACGCUGGCGGCGUGCCUAACACAUGCAAGUCGAACGGAGAUUUUAGCAAUAAAAUCUUAGUGGCGAACGGGUGAGUAACGCGUAGACAACCUGCCUUCUAGAUGGGGACAACACUGCGAAAGUGGUGCUAAUACCGAAUGUUGUAAUUGGAAUGCAUGUUCUGAUUACUAAAGGUGGCCUCUAUUUAUAAGCUAUCGCUAGAAGAUGGGUCUGCGUCUGAUUAGCUAGUUGGUGAGGUAAUGGCUCACCAAGGCGACGAUCAGUAGCCGGCCUGAGCGGAUGAACGGCCACACUGGGACUGAGACACGGCCCAGACUCCUACGGGAGGCAGCAGUGGGGAAUCUUCCGCAAUGGACAAAAGUCUGACGGAGCAACGCCGCGUGAGUGAAGAAGGUUUUCGGAUCGUAAAACUCUGUUUUCAGGGACGAAUGUGCUGAUUGUAAAUAAUGGUUGGUAAUGACGGUACCUGACAAGAAAGCCACGGCUAACUACGUGCCAGCAGCCGCCGUAACAC
rnacentral:rRNA from 1 species